rnacentral:rRNA from 1 species
UUGGUGGGCAAGUUUGGUGCCAGCAGCCGCGGUAAUUCCAGCUCCAAUAGCGUAUAUUAAAGUUGUUGUGGUUAAAAAGCUCGUAGUUGAACCUUGGGCCUGGCUGGCCGGUCCGCCUCACCGCGUGUACUGGUCCGGCCGGGCCUUUCCCUCUGUGGAACCCCAUGCCCUUCACUGGGUGUGGCGGGGAAACAGGACUUUUACUUUGAAAAAAUUAGAGUGCUCCAGGCAGGCCUAUGCUCGAAUACAUUAGCAUGGAAUAAUAGAAUAGGACGUGUGGUUU